AAAAUGAUUUUGUGUCCCAUUGUGCUCGCAGUUGUUCAGCUCUCUGGGGGUGAUUAAACUGGCUGAGCUGCGGCAGCUUGAGAAGAUUUCACUAAAUCGCUUCUUCGUGAAGUCGCUUCUUUGCUAAGCUGUUAUUUUAACCAUAAAAGGUAAACAGAAGGCGCCUCUGAGUUCCCUUCAGCUCUCCGCCCUGGGCGCCUGCCCGGAGCGACAGUGCCAGGGGCCUGCAGGACUGUCCAGGGGGUGGACUGGGAGCAACGCGGCGGGCCACCUGGUGCGCGACAGCCCCGCCGCAGAGCCCGCCGGCCCGUGUGAACUUCGGGGCUACAGGAGCCGGCUGGGCCGAACCUCCGGCCCCGCGGGGCGGGGUGGCCAAGAUGACAUUCAAAGAAACACACACCCCGUGAGAAGAGUUUGCAUCAGUGGGAAGAAACAAGGCGUGAGUUAUGGGGACUGCCAAAUGCGCUCCGUGCUCUGAACUCUUCAUCUCUUGGAAGUUUUUCUUCUCAGUAUUUUGGCUGAAAACCUUUCUGGUUACCUUCUGAGGGAAGCAAAGGCCAAUGAUGAUAGCUACAGUUCACAUUUGGAAAGGAAAUGCCUUUGACUUGGAGUCAGGUGCAGCCAAGGACUGUGGCAAGAGUCAGCCAGGAGGCCUCUGGUCUGAAUGUAUAGGAGAGCAGACUCCGUUGCGGGGCAACGGCAUGCACGAGGAAAAGGGAUGCUUCCACAGCCUGCAGCAAAAUCCUACCCGAGUGUGCUGUGAAAGCAACUUCAAAGCUCCCAAGGCUCCCUCGGAAGGUUUUUCAACAAGAAAUAUUUCAUUCAUGCAAGAAAAAACAUGUCACGUAUAAUAUUGAUACUAUGAAGACUAACAGCCAGAGUGAGGGUGUGGCUCAGUGAUCGAGUCCUUGUCUAGGAUGCAUGAAGCCCCGGUUCCAUGCCCAGCGCUACUAAAAUAAAGAAAUAACCACAGCAACACAAACACCCAAGGAUUCACCACCUGGCAGAAGAUGCUAAAAUCGACCAACGCCUCUGCAGUUCCUUCGGUGUCCUCUUGGAGGGCCACUUCCCUUUUAUUUUCCCAAGACAAGGUCUCAUGUAUCCCAGGCUAUCCUCAAGCUUGCCCUGUAGCUGAGGAUCCUUGAACUUCUGAUUCUCCUGUUUCCACCUCCUGAGUGCUGGGAUUACAGGAGACCACCUACUCUUCCUGCCUGAACCCCACUAGGCCCAACACUGUCCUGGUCCCUGAACACGGUGCCACUAAGAGGUCCACGACAGAUGAGAGGCUCCGGGAAUGGCAGCACAUCCAUACAAUGAACUCUUUACUGAGAUGCAAGCCAGCAAAGAUGCUCUCACUGGCAAAGAAGUAAAGAACUCGCUAAAAGAUCUUUCUGACAUGGAAUUCCAGAACAGGCCAAAAUAAUUUCUGGUGAUGGGAUCAGAUCAAUGGCUACCCUGGGGGUAGAGGUGGGGAUCCGAGUGAGCAGAGACAAGGGGCAGGGGACGGAUAUUCUGGAGUGAGGAAAAUACCAUGUGUCUCCAUUAAGAUGGUACCUGUUUGUCAAAGCUCACUUACAAUGUGUGUGUUUUCUUGUUUACAUAUUAUAUCUUAAUUAAAUCGACAGAAAGUGGUAUGAACAUAUUUUAGAAUGUUAAAGUGCCAGGUUGUUUUAUUUUUUUUAUUUUUUAUGCUAUUUUGAUUUUGCAGAAAUCUUGCUUGUAUCUCAGAACCAAAUGGCAGCCCUUGGAAUGCUUUCGUGAAUCUGAAAAGGAAGCAGUUCCAAUAAUGUCAGGUACCAUUCGUUUUCAGUGACCUUUGAAUAAGCCAGGCAAUGUAGAAACAUUGCCUCCAUGAAGUUUGCGUUCCCAAAAAGUAAUCGCCAGACAGUUCUUGUCCUUUGCAUAUGGAGAGCCUGGACUGGGGCGGGCACUGGAGUCAGGGAUGGGAGGCUGAGCCCAGACAAGACUGUGGCAGCCCAGCCAGGCCGCUCAAAGCUGAGUCUCCACAGAGACUGCUCUCAGCUGCAGGAAGUCACCUCGCCCAAGGUUGCAACUCCCUCCCUGGGGCUGCCUGCAUCCCACCACUGAUUCUAGUGGAGUUUGCCGCCCCCCCCCCCCCUUUCCAUCAGUCAGGACACAGCUUCGAAGCCAUGUCAGCUCCAGAGCGCCUUGUGGGAUUGGCUGACUAAAUCACAGCCCUCAUCGUGCCUCUUUCAAUUCCUGCUGCCUUCUCUACCCCAUAGGACUGUGCUCCAAGGUCACUCCCACCUCCAUCUUCCUGCUCUGCCUGCCUGGCACACUUUCUAAUGUCCUCGGGGUCCUCCCUCAGCACAUGCUAAGAUGAAAGGUAGAAGGGUUGAUUUCCCACCAACCAGCCAGCAAGGAGGACUGUACCAGAUGGAAAAGAAGCGAUGUGUGAAGGCAACCCCACAGUUUCUCAUGGUCAGUGAGUUUCUGAAGGAUGUAGAGGCUGGGGCUGAUGCUGCCUGAUUGCUGUGGACACAGUCCCUGCUGGGAAGCCCUUCUGGAAGUCCGAGGAAAUGGGACCCCAGAGCCUUAAAGAAUCGGGGUGAUUUCCUCACUCCCCAUCCUCUCUCUCCCCUCUAGCCAGGAAACAGUCUGUGCACUUGUUAAAGAACUCAGGCUCUGACUCCACAGAAGUCAAAAGAGAACUAAUAUCUAUAGCAGAAUAAUAGCACCGGGGCUCCUCGCUGGAUUCUGCUUCAUUUAGAGUCAAUUACUCUUUGCUUCUAAGAGGACCGUGGCUUUAAAGCGAUAUGAGAACACACUUAAUCCUGCCCAACCUGGGGCCAUCUGUUUUGUGGCAUUUUGCCAAAAUCCCAGGGAAGGGGGCUGUAAAUGACAGCUGACUCCUGAUUCCUUACAUGCCUAUAUCUCUUCCAUUUUCCUAAUUAAUGCAGAGAUCAAAUGCUGUGGAGAAACAUCCAGGCAAUCACUGACAGGGACUUCUAACCUGGCCAGUGUAUGAUCCCACACCCCCACAGUGAGCGGGGCAUCACAGAAGCCCCCAGUCAGCUCCAGGAAGUUGGAAGCAGUCGGAGUCAUGGUAUAUUUAUUUAGCAUGGAGCUCUAGCUUCAUGUCACUUCCUCAUCAAGAAUAGGGAAAAGGGUAAUUGGAUUUAAAUGUCAAGAUGUUCCAAGUGUGGGGCGGAAGACACAUAUCUAUUUUCUUGGCUACAUCUUUUUCUUUGGUUUUAUGGUAAUGAAAACUGCAACCACUUGUUGCUGGAAGAUGGGAGCAAAUGCAUUCGGACUUGAGGAAAGAUGCUGACGUCACAGCCAGAGGGCAGGCUAUCGGACGCGGAGGGCAAGUUACAAGAGACAGGGGGAGAGUGAGAAAGCUUGGCAAGAGACUCAGCUGGCCAGAGGACAUUCUGGAGAGGGACCAAUGAGAGUCCAAGGGGAGGGCUGGCUAGGGAUCAACCCUGGGAAGAUGGCCACACUUCAGAAAGGAUGCAUCAAGCUCCCCAAGAACAAUUCUUUUCUGGGAACUCUGUCUUGUGGCUUUCUAAAAAAAAUUAUUAUUAUUUUAAACAAUUUAUUUUACUUUAAAAUCAUGGGUAUAUGUGUCUGUGUGUGGGAGUGCGCACAUGAGUGCAGAUACCCACGGAGGCCAGAAGAGGGUACUGGAUCCCCUGGAGCUGGAGUUACAAGCUGUUCUGGGCCACUUGACCUGUGCUGGCCACUGAACUAUGGUCCUCUGCAAGAGCAACCCAUCCUCUACACUGCUGAGCCUUCAUCUCUAGCCAUUUUUAUAAACAAGAUUUUGAAAAUGAUAUUAGGGAAGUGAAAUACUCCCCACGGGCUCCUGUGUUUAAACACUUGCUCUCUAGUGGGUAGGGCUGUCUUGGAAAGUUGUGUCAUCUUUGGGAUUUGGGGGUAUGUGGCUGCCGGAAGUGUGUAUGGGUGUCACCAAUGUUGGCUCCACUUCCAGUCUCACUUUCUCUCUUCCUGGUCUACUAGGAUGCGCAGGGUGCCACUGUCAUGGACCAAGCCAUUCCAGCCCUCAUGCCUUCCUUAGCAUGAUGGACUUAGGUCCCCUGAACCCUGAGCCAAAAUAAACUUGUCCUCUCUCAAGUUGCUUCUGCCUCAUUUUUUGGACACAGGAUGAAAAGUUAAUGUAAGGAGCUAACAGCAUGAGAGGGGACCUGUGUCCAUCUUUGUUUCAGCUGUAACCAUGUCCCCUUCCAGUCACCAAGGCAGUCAAUGUCUAGUGCUGAGGACAGUUCUGAAUGCACAUCUCAGUGGUCCCACACCCGGAGCGACAAUGAUGGCCCACACAUUAUUUCAUGGGCUAAGUUCCAAAGUUUGGGGUCGGGAACUGGGGGAAGUAGCCAGGUUGCUACUUUCUGCAAGGAUGGGACAAGAGUCUGGACUGGCCAUUCUCAGCUGUCCCAAGUGGACAGUCACCUCACUUGGCCUGGUAGUUCUGCAUACCACCUAAGUGCCUUAGGGGGAAUCCUUUCUCAGUGAAAGUGAGGCUGUCAUCCCACAGGAGGGCAGAGCAGCAAGGAAUGAGUCAUCGACUGUUACCAGAACCAGCCAGGAGCCUUUCUGAACAGCCACUGGAAGUACUAUUCAGCUCUCUGCCAUUCUGAUAGGAGGGCUCAGGAAUGAGGAUCCUGUGUGAUCCUGAUGUGCAGCCAUGGUGACCCUGGUGUGGUGGUCUGAAAGAGAAUGACCCCCAUAGGCUCAUGUAUUUCAAUACUUGGUCCCCAGUUGGUGGAACUGUUUAGGAAGGAUUAGGAGGUGUGUCCUUGUUGGAAGAGGUGAGUCACUGGGAGUGGGCCUUGAAGUUUCACAGGCGCACACCAUUCCCAGUUAGCUCUGUCUGUCUCCUGCAUGUGGAUCAGGUGUGAGCUCUCAGCUACUGCUCCAGCGCCAUGCCUGCCUGUCUGCUGCCAUGCUCCCCUCCAUGAUGGCCAGAUUCUAACCCUCUGGGAUGGUGAACCCCCAAAUUAAAUAUUUUCUUUUGUAAGUUGUCUUGCUCAUAGUGGUUUUUGUUUGUUUUGUUUUGUUUUGUUUUUGCAGGAAUAGAAAGUAAUUAACACAUCUGGUUAGACUCAGAUUGCCUAUCACUCAUCAAUAUAGUUGAUUAAGUGAGGUGAGGUGCUUAGGAGUUGGGGUACAAUGGGAACUGUGCAGAACCAACAGUAAGUCUGGCAUGCUCUACUCCUGGUUGGUUCUCCAUGGCUGACUUCCCAAACUAUGCCUGACCAUGAAGUCUCCUCUCAUCCCCUUGUCCUCCGGUGGUCCACAUCUCAGCUCAGAAAAGACAACUGACAUAAAGAAAACUAGUCGUUCAGCCCGGUAGUGGACGUUGGGGAACAGUCCAACCUCAGCGGAUUCCAGGCAGUCUCCAUUUGGGUGUUCUCUAAGGACAGAGGGCGUCUGGACUGUCUCUAGGCUUGGGGUCCGCAGCAGGGGAGCGAUACAAGAGUGCUUGCAGCAGAGAGCUGGUGAUGGACUUCUGGCCCACCUCCUGGCGUCUGUCUUGGUCACCACAAAUUGUUGCCUUUGUUGGAUUGUGGUCACCUUUGGCCUCUCUCGGCAGGGAGCAGUCAAGGACACUGCCAUGUGGAUGAAUGGUAUUGCAGAAAAUAAGCAUCCUUAAUUAGAGACACGUGGAAGAGACACUCCACUCCAUUACAGGCAUUGAUUAGGGGAUUAUCAUUUUCUUGAUUGGUCUGAGAAUGUGUGUGUGCUCUGUGUGCAGCGAGGUGGGAUGUCUUAGGUGGAGGCCUACCCUCUGCCUCCUCCCUCCCCAUCCACACUCUCCAGCCCAUUUGCGCUGUCUCCCUUCCAGCUCAGUUGCUCUGCCUGUGAGGUGUUCGAGGCCUUGUCUUCUGGAGGUGUCCAUCAUUCUCUGCUGUGAGCUAGGUCAGGCCUCCACGGGAGGAAGGCUAUAGACAGGGACCUGUAGCUGCCCUGUCCCUUUCUCUUCCACCCCUUCACAGCCAAGCUGUUGGCAGGAACCGUCUAACGGCUGGGAUUUUCUGAUCCAAAGCCAGGCUUGGCACUGCAGCUUGCCAGGAAGCGCAUGCCUUUAAAAGGAUGUCUCUUCUUCUCUGGGCUGGGAACUUUCCUGCCUGGAGAGUUGUGAUGGGCAAGAGGGGUUAGGGACAGUCUUCAGAACGUUAAAGCGCGUCUUCAUGCACAGCAGACAGCGGGGGACGUGCUCCGCCUCAGCACCGAACAACUUCCCGUCAACCACAUGGAAGAGCACUCCCGUGGGAGCUACAAGCCCGGCACCUGGGCAGUCAUCACUCUCAGCCCCUCGUCUCCGUUCCUCUUGAGGUGCAGCGCUGUGUCGUGUCCUGUGGGUCCAAGCCACCGUCUUCUCACGCAGACAGGAGCCUGGCCUUGGAGAGUCAGUCCAUCUGAUUAGCAGCCGAGGCUCACAAAUGUUUCCCUCUAAGCAGGCUGUAGUGUGACCUGAGGGUCCUGGAUGGGGCUCCCAAACCUGAAGUGUGACCAUCAGAGGGUGUUCGGGUUCUUAGUAACAUGUUCUUUCGGCUCUGAGGCUGUGGCCAUCUAGUGCAUAUGUCUGGUCCAGCUUUGCUUGCCUGUAACUCAGCACUCAAGAACGUGGAAGAAAAGGAGGCGGAAAUGUGAGGGCUGGAGUACGGGAGGGCUGCUGUGAGACUUCUCUACGCGACACAGCGGCCACACUCGUGAAUACACAGCAACUGUGGUCACCGCACAAGACUGGGCCCUUCAAUAUUUCAUCAGGGGUGUGAGAGGGUCUCACGGGUACCCCCCUCCCUGAGAAGCUACUGGCCGUUAAUGGUUGCUAGGAGGGGACGAGUCAUGUAUUCACUGGGGGCCUCUCUGUGCUUUAGUAAAUAACUCUCUUUGCAAGUAAACCCUAAUUAAACUCAGCAGGACACACACACUCUCACAUCCACCCCCACACACUCACUCUCAUACACACUCACACAUACCCCCCCACAUAGUCUCGCACCCAC